rnacentral:lncRNA from 1 species
GAAGAACGGGAGGUACCUGGUGGAGCGAGAGGGCUCGUAGUAAGGUAUGGAUACAAGGAGUGGGGAAACAUGGGAUGUUUCGGGAACCCAAUAGUUGUAUCUGGUUCUAUCCUCUGUAAUAUUCUCUAUUGUAUAGUGGAAUUAUUCUCUCUCAUCCGUGGACGUAGGCAUGGUUGGCCGAACCACAUUAAAACCUCGUGUACCGUAUGUGUGAUUGUUUUAUCUUUGUGUUCUUGAACUAACAUUGUUGGCAUCAAAGCUUUCGUUGGCACUACAAUUGGUAUCAGAGCUUGAGUUGAAGAUUUCUAGAAGAGUAAAAGAUCACAAAGCACACAAGAUGAAAACAAAAGGAAUUUUCACUGAAGGUGGAGUCAAUUGCUCUUUCGUGGUGAUAUGAUACAAAAAGGUUUGUGUCAUGGAGAGAUUGAAGAUUAACUUCAUGUAAUUUGGUCCAAGGUGGAGAUUGUUAGGAAUUGUCCCAAAUUCCUAAUUAGUAAAUAUUCCUUUUUGUAAAGAAUAUUGUAUAGAAUAUUUCUAGGUUGAUAUAUUAUUGUAAUAUUAGACUUCCUUAUAAAAUAAGGAAAGUUGUUGGAAAUAUCUCUAUAAAUAUUCUAGGUCAUGAGGGGAAAAAAGUUAUGAGAUGGAGAUGGGCCUAUAGAGACUAUACGAAGUGGAUGGAGAUGUGAGGAAGAACGGGAGGUACCUGGUGGAGCGAGAGGGCUCGUAGUAAGGUAUGGAUACAAGGAGUGGGGAAACAUGGGAUGUUUCGGGAACCCAAUAGUUGUAUCUGGUUCUAUCCUCUGUAAUAUUCUCUAUUGUAUAGUGGAAUUAUUCUCUCUCAUCCGUGGACGUAGGCAUGGUUGGCCGAACCACGUUAAAACCUCGUGUACCGUAUGUGUGAUUGUUUUAUCUUUGUGUUCUUGAACUAACAUUGUUGGCAUCAAAGCUUUCGU